GGCGUCAUAGCUCAGUUGGGAGAGCAGCAGACUGAAGUCCUUCAGUGAUAUCUGAAGGUUCGAGCCACCGUGAUGCCA